rnacentral:rRNA from 1 species
UGCGCAGGCGGUUUUGUAAGACAGAGGUGAAAUCCCCGGGCUCAACCUGGGAACUGCCUUUGUGACUGCAAGGCUAGAGUGCGGCAGAGGGGGAUGGAAUUCCGCGUGUAGCAGUGAAAUGCGUAGAUAUGCGGAGGAACACCGAUGGCGAAGGCAAUCCCCUGGGCCUGCACUGACGCUCAUGCACGAAAGGCUGGGAGCAAACA